CACACAUAGAUAGCGAGAUUCGUUAUCUAUGUGUGCAGAGAAACAAAGUGGGGCCCAGGACUGCCAGAGCAGUCCGGGCCCCCCAGGGCCGCCGAGCCCGUGACAACUGUCACGGUUGUCACCCCCUGAUGGCGGCCCUGCAGCAGGGAUUGAUAGAGUAGCUCAAAAGAAUAAAAGGUGAUGCAUGUGAACGAAAUGUCCGAUACAGAGGACACAAGUUAAUGGGCUGGGUCUCAGGAGGUAAAAACUUGUAACUUUAUUUAUUCAGUAAUUUGUUUAAACCUGACUAAUUCUUUGUUAAAUAUUGUAAAAAAAA